rnacentral:ncRNA from 1 species
UUACAGUCACAUGACUGGCGGAAGUGGAGUUUACCACAGGGAGUGUGAUUGAGUCAGAAGCGCCGACCGCCUGGGCAAAAAAU